rnacentral:tRNA from 1 species
GUAUAGCUCAAGUGGUAGAGAGCAUGCUUAGCAUGCAUGAGGUCCUGGGUUCAAUCCCCAGUAC